AGUAUCCGAUGGCUUCGUUUGUCUGAGCGUCGUUUUAAAUGCAAAAUCCAACAUAAAGAUAGAUCUGUUUCGUCACACUUCGAUGAAAAGGUGUCGUCAGAUUAAAUCGAAAGUCAGAAUUUAUUCUUUUUGAAUGAAUUUGCUGUUAGUAGUAGCUCUAUGAGAAAAUGUUUCAAGUCUCGAGUGGCUUUGAAAGCACAUCGAUGGUGCGACAUUCUCCUAGGGUCUCUAGCAUUACACGCUAAAGAAUCCGAGUGCCAGUGAUGUGUGCCUGUUGAGAUUGAGAAAAAUCAAACAUGAAUAUCAAUGAGUGAUUCUACAAGCAAUGAAAUGUCAUUUCUCGACCUCAGAUCAAGCGAGAAUACCCGCUGAAUUUAAGCAUAUAAAUAAGCGGAGGAAAAGAAACCAAACGGGAUU
rnacentral:rRNA from 1 species